rnacentral:rRNA from 1 species
GAGUUUGAUCGUGGCUCGGGACGAACGCUGGCGGCGUGCCUAACACAUGCAAGUCGUACGGGAUCAUUGAUAAGCUUGCUUAAAGAUGGUCUAGUGGCGGACGGGUGAGUAACGCGUGAGGAACCUGCCUUUCAGAGGGGGAUAACGUCUGGAAACGGACGCUAAUACCGCAUAACAUCAGAGAGUCACAUGGCUUUUUGAUCAAAGGAGCAAUCCGCUGAGAGAUGGACUCGCGUCCGAUUAGCCAGUUGGUGAGGUAAUGGCCCACCAAAGCAGCGAUCGGUAGCCGGGCUGAGAGGCUGAACGGCCACAUUGGGACUGAGACACGGCCCAGACUCCUACGGGAGGCAGCAGUGGGGGAUAUUGCACAAUGGAGGAAACUCUGAUGCAGCAACGCCGCGUGAGGGAGACGGUCUUCGGAUUGUAAACCUUUGUCUUCGGUGACGAUAAUGACGGUAGCCGAGGAGGAAGCUCCGGCUAACUACGUGCCAGCAGCCGCGGUAAGACC